rnacentral:rRNA from 1 species
AACGUAGGAGACAAACGUUAUCCGGAGUUACCGGGCGUAAAGGGCGUGUAGGUGGUUUCGUAAGUCUGGCGUGAAAUUUUUCGGCUUAACCGGGAAAGGUCGUCGGAUACUGCGGAGCUAGAGGACGGUAGAGGCGUGUGGAAUUCCGGGUGUAGUGGUGAAAUGCGUAGAGAUCCGGAGGAACACCAGUGGCGAAGGCGACACGCUGGGCCGUACCUGACACUGAUGCGCGACAGCAUGGGGAGCAAACAGG